AUGGAACAGUACAUCGAUAAAAGGAAAAGUGAUGGCAUCUACAUCAAAUCUGAGGAGGACCUGGGAGAAGCUUCUGCUGGCAGCUCAUGCCAUUGUUGCCAUUGAAAACCCUGCUGAUGUAGGUGUCAUAUCCUCCAGGAAUACUGGCCAGAGGGCCGUGCUGAAGUUUGCUGCUCCACUGGAGCCACUCCAAUUGCUGCUGCUUCACUCCUGGAACCUUCACCAACCAGGUCCAGCAGCCUUCCGGGAGCCACGGCUCCUUGGGGUUCCUGACCCCAGGGCUGACCACCAGCCCCUCAUGGAGGCAUCUUAUGUUAACCUAUCUACCAUUGCUCUGUGUAACACAGAUUCCCCUCUGCGCUAUGUGGACAUUGCCAUCCCAUGCAACAACAAGGAGCUCACUCAGUGGGUUUGAUGUGGUGGAUGCUGGCUCGGGAAGUUCUGAGCAUGCGUGGCACCAUCUCCCGUGGACACCCUUGGAAGGUCAUUCCUGAUCUCUGCUUCUACAGAGAUCCUGAAGAGAUUGGGAAAGAAGAGCAGGCUGCUGCUGACAAGGCUGUGACCAAGGAGGAAUUUCAGGGUGAAUGAACUGCCCCAGCUCCUGAGUUCACUGCUGCUCAGCCUGAGGUUGCAGACUGGUCUGGGGGCAUGCGGGUGCCCUCUGUGUCUAUUCAGCAGUUCCCUACCGAAGACUGGAGCGUCAGCCUGCCGCGGGAGACUGGUCUGCAGCUCCCACUGCUCAGGCCACUGAAUGGGUAGGAGCAACCACUGAAUGGUCUUAAGCUGUUCUUGCGUGGGCUCUUCAACAACAUGGAAAUAAGGUUGAUGGAAAAUAAACAUCCGUU